rnacentral:rRNA from 1 species
CCCAAACGUUAUUCGGAAUUACUGGGCUUAAAGAGUUCGUAGGCGGCAUUGCAAGUAGGGUGUGAAAGCCCUCGGCUCAACCGAGGAAUUGCGCUCUAAACUGCAGUGCUCGAGGAACCUAGAGGUGAGCAGAACAGAUGGUGGAGCGGUGAAAUGCGUUGAUAUCAUCUGGAAUACCGGAGGCGAAGGCGGCGACCUGGACAAGUACUGACACUCAACAACGAAAGCGUGGGGAGCAAACAGG